GGGACCAAAAAAUUAAGUUGGAUCUAUCUUACUGAUUUUCUAUCAUCUUACUGCUUUUUUAUGAUCUUUUGGUUUGAUAGAUAGGAAAUUUUGAUUAGAGAGAGUCGUACAAAGAGAAAUAUUCGAAGACAGAGAAGAUGCAGCAAGAGAGGGAUAACAAAAAACAUUGUUGCAAGCUCAUCAGUCAAACGGUGGUGGCUUUCUUCGGGUGUCUGAAUCCCAGACGCUCAUCUUCCUCUUCUUCAGACAUGGUGAAAGCUCAAGCAAGAACUGUAAAACUGAUGGAGGAAGAAGAAGCUUCACCCGUCGAAAUUUCAACGAAAAGUCUCAACAUGGUGAGUACACGGAGAAGAAAACCGCCGGUUAGCUCAGGGAAACGAGGUGGAGUUAACAACUACGUCAUGUAGCUAGGGUCU